UACGGAGGAUCCAAGCGUUAUCCGGAUUUAUUGGGUUUAAAGGGUGCGUAGGCGGCCUAUUAAGUCAGGGGUGAAAGACGGUGGCUCAACCAUCGCAGUGCCCUUGAUACUGAUGGGCUUGAAUAAACUUGAGGUAGGCGGAAUGAGACAAGUAGCGGUGAAAUGCAUAGAUAUGUCUCAGAACACCAAUUGCGAAGGCAGCUUACUAAGGUUUAAUUGACGCUGAGGCACGAAAACGUGGGGAUCAAACAGG
rnacentral:rRNA from 1 species